UGUUAUGAAAGACAAUUUUCACGAAAAAAUUCAGAUACACUACAAUGACAAACACAUCUGCAUAUUGAAGAACGUAAGAUUAAAUUCAAAAAUAAAAACUCCUGUAUAAGGCAGUAGACACAUGCUCCCUCUGGGAGCCUAUUUUUUUAACUGCAACCUGAAUAUAAGUUUGACUUGGAUUGAUAUCAGCUAGAACAAUGAAUACGCUACAGUAUCUUAACUUUACAGCAGUUCUAAGUCACUGCAUGACUGAUUUCAUCAUCUCAUGCUUGAUUGCACUCACAAAGAAACCAGCCUAUAAGGUCACAUGACUAACCUGGAAAAACCCAUUUCUAUUUUCGCAGACACUUCAUGCACACCCAAAACUUAACAGAGAAUUUUAAGGAUUUCAAUUUAAGAUGGCUACCAGUAAGUUGGAUCAAUUUCUGGAAAAUGUUGAUGAGAAGGUCUUGGAGUGUACCAUCUGCUUUAAGAGACUUCAAAAUCCAAAAUCUCUCAACUGCCUCCAUAGUUUCUGUUUGGCAUGCCUGGAAGAUUGGGUUAAGACUAAGGGUAAGCUGACUUGCCCAACUUGCUCAAAAUUAUAUACAAUUCCGGAGGGUGGGCUUCAGAAGCUUCCACCAAAUACCUUUCUAAAUAAUUUAUUAGAAACUAUCGAACAAUUUUCAGAGAGAGAUCAGAUGAAAUGUAGUGUUUGUGAAAAGGAUGAACAGGUAAAAUACUACUGCCAGGAUUGCAGACAGUACUUG
rnacentral:misc_RNA from 1 species